GGAUUGCAGUCUGAAACUCGAGCGCAUGAAGCUGGAAUCGCUAGUAAUCGCAAAUCAGAAUGUUGCGGUGAAUACGUUCCCGGGUCUUGUACACACCGCCCGUCACACCAUGGGAGUUGGAAAUGCCCGAAGUCAGUGACCCAACCUAAGGGAGGGAGCUGCCGAAGGCAGGUUCGAUGACUGGGGUGAAGUCGUAACAAGGUAGC
rnacentral:rRNA from 1 species